AAAUAUAUCGGGGACGCUCACGUUUUCUGAAACUACGGAAAUGUGAUUGCAGCCGAUAGCAUUUGCCUGCUUUGUGUUUCGUGGAUGGUUUUCACAGACCCGUCGCCUAGGUGAUUCAGGAUCACAGGCAACGAGCACGUCCCAUAGGUUACACGUUACGCAAAGAACGUGACAGUGACAGAGUGACUUAUCGCAGCUAAAACAAGCUAGCUCAGCUAGCUAGCUCAGUGCGCUAAGUCGGAACAACUUGGGAUUCCUCGAUCGAAGUUGAUCAGCAGAUCGGAUAGUUUCCUUCUUUGUAACUUGUUGACUGUAAUUAAAAUGGCUUUGGUAACAGCGUUGAGAAGACUGGCUCACGGCAGGUUACGAGACUUUUCGUGGAGGACGGCGGCAGUCACUUCGGGUGCCUGGCUGACGGGGCAGAGGAGCUUUACCACCAGGCAGUCUCUGAGGUCGGACAACAAGGUGAUGGUCCACUUCGUCAACAGAGACGGGGAGAAAAUCUCAGUGAAGGGGUCGCCUGGAGACUCACUGCUAGAUAUUGUCAUUAAUGAAGACCUGGACUUUGAUGGCUUUGGUGCGUGUGAAGGAACCCUGGCAUGCUCCACAUGCCAUCUGAUCUUUGAAGAGGAAACCUACAAGAAUCUGGGUCCAGUCACAGACGAGGAGAUGGACAUGCUAGAUUUAGCCUACGGCUUGACUGACACAUCUCGUCUUGGUUGCCAGAUCUGUCUGACGAAGUCUAUGGAGGGCAUGGUGGCCAGGGUUCCAGAGAGCGUAGAGGACAUCCGACAGAGCCAGGACGGAUCCUCUUAACCUGCAGUGAGGACGCGUGUCGACAGUGUGGUUGUGCCCAGUCAGAACUGAGGGUACAGUAUAUCUCAAAAUCAGAUUCACUGAAGGAAAAGGUACACAGCUGAUUGACUGAACCAAUGCAACUAACAGUUCUCGACGCCGGAGAGAUUGUGCUCGUAUUUUAUUCUGUGUGUGUGUGUGUGUAUGCCCCUACUAUUGUUGGUUUGAUCAGAUCCUUCAUGUAAGCGUAUAAUUCCAUUAUAUGAUUGUACAUAGCUAGAUCACACAUGUAUAUCCAUGUUUAGAGUGAAAAAUAAUAAUAAUAAAAAUUACCUUUCUAAUA